UACGGGGGGGGCAAGCGUUGUUCGGAAUUACUGGGCGUAAAGGGCUUGUAGGUGGCCAACUAAGUCAGACGUGAAAUCCCUCAGCUUAACUGGGGAACUGCUUCUGAUACUGGAUGGCUUGAGUUUGGGAGAGGGAUGCGGAAUUCCAGGUGUAGCGGUGAAAUGCGUAGAUAUCUGGAGGAACACCGGUGGCGAAGGCGGGUCUCUGGGCCGAUACUGACGCUGAGGAGCGAAAGCGUGGGGAGCGAACAGG
rnacentral:rRNA from 1 species